AUAACGGAGAGUUUGAUUCUGGCUCAGAACGAACGCUGGCGGCGUGGAUAAGACAUGCAAGUCGAACGAUGAUUUCAGGGUAGCAAUAUUCUGAAGUUAGAGUGGCGAAAGGGUGCGUAACACGUGGGUAAUUUGCCGUGAAGUUGGGGAUAACUUGCUGAAAGGCGAGCUAAUACCGAAUGUGGCCUAACAAGGCUAAAGUUGGGGACCGUAAGGCCUGACGCUUCAUGAUAAGCCCGCGGCCUAUCAGCUAGUUGGUGAGGUAACGGCUCACCAAGGCUAAGACGGGUAGCUGGUCUGAGAGGACGACCAGCCUCACUGGAACUGAGACACGGUCCAGACACCUACGGGUGGCAGCAGUCGAGAAUUUUUCUCAAUGGGGGAAACCCUGAAGGAGCGACGCCGCGUGGGGGAUGAAUGGCUUCGGCCCGUAAACCCCUGU
rnacentral:rRNA from 1 species